UACAGAGGUCCCAAGCGUUGUUCGGAUUCAUUGGGCGUAAAGGGUGCGUAGGUGGCAUGGUAAGUCGGGUGUGAAAUCCCGGGGCUCAACCCCGGAACUGCACUCGAUACUGCCGUGCUCGAGUACUGGAGAGGAGACUGGAAUUUACGGUGUAGCAGUGAAAUGCGUAGAUAUCGUAAGGAAGGCCGGUGGCGAAAGCGAGCCUCUGGACAGUUACUGACGCUGAUGCACGAAGGCCAGGGGAGCAAACGGG
rnacentral:rRNA from 1 species